GGAGUCUGGGCCGUGUCUCAGUCCCAAUGUGGCCGUCCAACCUCUCAGUCCGGCUACUGAUCGUUGCCUUGGUGAGCCGUUACCUCACCAACUAGCUAAUCAGACGCGAGCUCAUCCUUAAGCGAUAAAUCUUUUAUAGCUGUACCAUGCGGUACUACUAUCUUAUGCGGUAUUAUCAGUCAUUUCUAACUGCUAUCCCCCUCUUAAGGGCAGAUUGCUCACGUGUUACUCACCCGUCCGCCACUAAGUUAUCAAAAGCAAGCUCUCGAUAACUCCGUUCGACUUGCAUGUGUUAAGCGUGCCGCCAGCGUUCGUC
rnacentral:rRNA from 1 species